UAAAGGUUGUGCCCUUGAGGCGUGGCUUCCGGAGCUAACGCGUUAAAUCGACCGCCUGGGGAGUACGGCCGCAAGGUUAAAACUCAAAUGAAUUGACGGGGGCCCGCACAAGCGGUGGAGCAUGUGGUUUAAUUCGAUGCAACGCGAAGAACCUUACCUGGUCUUGACAUCCACAGAACUUUCCAGAGAUGGAUUGGUGCCUUCGGGAACUGUGAGACAGGUGCUGCAUGGCUGUCGUCAGCUCGUGUUGUGAAAUGUUGGGUUAAGUCCCGCAACGAGCGCAACCCUUAUCCUUUGUUGCCAGCGGUUAGGCCGGGAACUCAAAGGAGACUGCCAGUGAUAAACUGGAGGAAGGUGGGGAUGACGUCAAGUCAUCAUGGCCCUUACGACCAGGGCUACACACGUGCUACAAUGGCAUAUACAAAGAGAAGCGACCUCGCGAGAGCAAGCGGACCUCAUAAAGUAUGUCGUAGUCCGGAUUGGAGUCUGCAACUCGACUCCAUGAAGUCGGAAUCGCUAGUAAUCGUAGAUCAGAAUGCUACGGUGAAUACGUUCCCGGGCCUUGUACACACCGCCCGUCACACCAUGGGAGUGGGUUGCAAAAGAAGUAGGUAGCUUAACCUUCGGGAGGGCGCUUACCACUUUGUGAUUCAUGACUGGGGUGAAGUCGUAACAAGGUAACCGUAACG
rnacentral:rRNA from 1 species